rnacentral:rRNA from 1 species
AGUCGAGGGGCAGCGGGGGCGGAAGCUUGCUUUCGCCCGCCGGCGACCGGCGCACGGGUGAGUAACACGUAUGCAACCUGGCCGCCACAGGGGGAUAACCCGCGGAAACGCGGCCUAAUACCCCGUGACGCCACCGGAGGGCAUCCUCCGGUGGCCAAAGGAGUGAUCCGGUGGCGGAUGGGCAUGCGGCGCAUUAGCUAGACGGCGGGGUGACGGCCCACCGUGGCGACGAUGCGUAGGGGUUCUGAGAGGAAGGCCCCCCACACUGGGACUGAGACACGGCCCAGACUCCUACGGGAGGCAGCAGUGAGGAAUAUUGGUCAAUGGGCGGAAGCCUGAACCAGCCAAGUCGCGUGAGGGAUUAAGGCCCUGCGGGUCGUAAACCUCUUUUGCCGGGGAGCAGUGGUCCGGACGCGUCCGGACCGGGAGAGUACCCGGAGAAAAAGCAUCGGCUAACUCCGUGCCAGCAGCCGCGGUAAUACGGAGGAUGCGAGCGUUAUCCGGAUUUAUUGGGUUUAAAGGGUGCGUAGGCGGGCAUUUAAGCCGGCGGUCAAAUGUCGGGGCUCAACCCCGGCCUGCCGUCGGAACUGGGUGCCUUGAGUGGGCGAGAAGUAUGCGGAAUGCGUGGUGUAGCGGUGAAAUGCAUAGAUAUCACGCAGAACCCCGAUUGCGAAGGCAGCAUACCGGCGCCCUACUGACGCUGAGGCACGAAAGUGCGGGUAUCGAACAGGAUUAGAUACCCUGGUAGUCCGCACAGUAAACGAUGGAUGCUAUCUGUCC